rnacentral:rRNA from 1 species
AGCGCAGGCGGGAAGACAAGUUGGAAGUGAAAUCCAUGGGCUCAACCCAUGAACUGCUUUCAAAACUGUUUUUCUUGAGUAGUGCAGAGGUAGGCGGAAUUCCCGGUGUAGCGGUGGAAUGCGUAGAUAUCGGGAGGAGCACCAGUGGCGAAGGCGGCCUACUGGGCACCAACUGACGCUGAGGCUCGAAAGUGUGGGUAGCAAACA